UACGGGGGGGGUAAGCGUUGUUCGGAAUUACUGGGCGUAAAGGGCUCGUAGGCGGCCAACUAAGUCAGACGUGAAAUCCCUCAGCUUAACUGGGGAACUGCGUCUGAUACUGGAUGGCUUGGAUUUGGGAGAGGAAUGCGGAAUUCCAGGUGUAGCGGUGAAAUGCGUAGAUAUCUGGAGGAACACCGGUGGCGAAGGCGGCAUUCUGGACCAAUAUUGACGCUGAGGAGCGAAAGCCAGGUGAGCAAACGGG
rnacentral:rRNA from 1 species